UCCNGUAAAGUGUCCUGUGUGAUAAUCAAG
rnacentral:piRNA from 1 species